rnacentral:rRNA from 1 species
UACGUAGGGGGCUAGCGUUGUCCGGAUUUAUUGGGCGUAAAGAGCGUGUAGGCGGCCAGGUAGGUCCGUUGUGAAAACUCGAGGCUCAACCUCGAGACGUCGGCGGAAACCCUCUGGCUAGAGUCCGGAAGAGGAGAGUGGAAUUCCUGGUGUAGCGGUGAAAUGCGUUGAUAUCAGGAGGAACACCCAUGGCGAAGGCAGCAAACUGGUCAUCAACUGACGCUGAGGCGGCGAAAGCGUGGGUAGCAAACAGG